CAGCAGCCACGGUAAUACGAAGGGGGCUAGCGUUGCUCGGAAUUACUGGGCGUAAAGGGAGCGUAGGUGGUGGUUUAAGUCCGUUGUGAAAGCCCUGGGCUCAACCUGGGAAUUGCAGUGGAUACUGGGUCACUAGAGUGUGGUAGAGGAUAGUGGAAUUUCCGGUGUAGCAGUGAAAUGCGUAGAGAUCGGAAGGAACAUCUGUGGCGAAGGCGACUAUCUGGGCCAACACUGACACUGAGGCACGAAAGCGUGGGGAGCAAACAGGAUUAGAUACCCCUGUAGUCCCUGUCUCUUAUAC
rnacentral:rRNA from 1 species